rnacentral:rRNA from 1 species
CCCGCUGAACUUAAGCAUAUCAAUAAGCGGAGGAAAAGAAACUAACAAGGAUUCCCCUAGUAACUGCGAGUGAAGCGGGAAAAGCUCAAAUUUAAAAUCUGGUGGUCUUUGGCCAUCCGAGUUGUAAUUUAGAGAAGCGUCUUCCGCGCUGGACCAUGCAUAAGUCUCCUGGAAUGGAGCGUCAUAGAGGGUGAGAAUCCCGUCUUUGGCAUGGACCCCCAGGGCUUCUGUGAUGCGCUCUCAAAGAGUCGAGUUGUUUGGGAAUGCAGCUCAAAAUGGGUGGUGAACUCCAUCUAAAGCUAAAUAUUGGCGAGAGACCGAUAGCGAACAAGUACCGUGAGGGAAAGAUGAAAAGCACUUUGGAAAGAGAGUGAAACAGUACGUGAAAUUGUUGAAAGGGAAACGCUUGAAGUCAGUCGCGUCGACCGAGACUCAGCCUCGCCUUGGCUUGGUGUACUUCUCGGCUGACGGGUCAGCAUCAAUUUCGAUCCUUGGAUAAUGGCAAGGGAAAGGUAGCACCUUUACAGGUGUGUUAUAGUCCUUUGUCGGAUGCAAGGGUUGGGAUUGAGGAACUCAGCACGCACCUCAUCGGUGUCGGGGCCUUUUGGCCUACGUUACGUGCUUAGGAUGCUGGCAUAAUGGCUUUAAACGACCCGUCUUGAAACACGG